UACGUAGGGGGCUAGCGUUGUCCGGAAUCAUUGGGCGUAAAGCGCGCGUAGGCGGCCCGGUAAGUCCGCUGUAAAAGUCAAAGGCUCAACCUUUGAAUGUCAGUGGAUACUGCCGGGCUAGAGUCCGGAAGAGGCGAGUGGAAUUCCUGGUGUAGCGGUGGAAUGCGCAGAUAUCAGGAGGAACACCAGCGGCGAAGGCGGCAUCCUGGACUGGUCCUGACACUCGAGGAGCGAAAGCGUGGGGAGCG
rnacentral:rRNA from 1 species